GACCUGGUAGCACAAUGCCAGUACGUCUGCAUCGUUUACGACGGGUCGAAACGAUUCCCGCAGAUGAUCCCCGUUCGACUCGGGGUCAGGUCA